GUUUUAAGAUUUAAGGCCUUGCGGCACUAUCACGUUCAAUAUUUACUAAUGGGUUUGUAAAAGAAGAGGGAAAUCUAAAGCAAUAAAGCUCCACAAUUUACCCUCAGAGGUGCACAGGUGUAUGGAUAAGAAUGUCGGAAGCGAGCACAUACAACCAGAGGCUGCCAGCAUCAACUCCCUUUACAAUUCAUUAAUGAUCCUUCCGCAGGUUCACCUACGGAAA
rnacentral:misc_RNA from 1 species